rnacentral:rRNA from 1 species
UACGGGGGGGGCAAGCGUUGUUCGGAAUUACUGGGCGUAAAGGGCUCGUAGGCGGCCAACUAAGUCGGACGUGAAAUCCCCAGGCUCAACCUGGGAACUGCGUCCGAUACUGGAUGGCUUGAAUCCGGGAGAGGGAUGCAGAAUUCCAGGUGUAGCGGUGAAAUGCGUAGAUAUCUGGAGGAAUACCGGUGGCGAAGGCGGCAUCCUGGACCGACAUUGACGCUGAUGAGCGAAAGCUAGGGGAGCAAACGGG